UGGGGAAUAUUGGACAAUGGGCGAAAGCCUGAUCCAGCCAUGCCGCGUGAGUGAUGAAGGCCCUAGGGUUGUAAAGCUCUUUUGUGCGGGAAGAUAAUGACGGUACCGCAAGAAUAAGCCCCGGCUAACUUCGUGCCAGCAGCCGCGGUAAUACGAAGGGGGCUAGCGUUGCUCGGAAUCACUGGGCGUAAAGGGUGCGUAGGCGGGUUUCUAAGUCAGAGGUGAAAGCCUGGAGCUCAACUCCAGAACUGCCUUUGAUACUGGAAGUCUUGAGUAUGGCAGAGGUGAGUGGAACUGCGAGUGUAGAGGUGAAAUUCGUAGAUAUUCGCAAGAACACCAGUGGCGAAGGCGGCUCACUGGGCCAUUACUGACGCUGAGGCACGAAAGCGUGGGGAGCAAACAGG
rnacentral:rRNA from 1 species